CAGGAUUCGUUUGGAGGGGAGGACGUGUUUUCAUAUACAAGACUCGAACUCGAAACCUCUAAUUAAAGGGGAGCUUGCUCAACAAAUUAUUUUUUCGCCAACGAAAGGUUGCCUAAAAUGGUUUUGGUUGAUCUAGUAUUUCACUAUGCUGUGGAAUGAAUAAGAGAGCCUAAAUUGCUCUAUGAGAGGAAAUAUUUUCACAAAUGAGAAGGUUAUGAUUAUGAUCUCUUAUCUUAUAUAGAUAUUACUAAUGAGUACAUUAACAUAUUAAGAUAUAUAGGUGUGUAACAGUUGAUAGUAUUUGUCCCUUCUGAAAAUUCUAUUAAAUUGAAGGUGAUGAGGGGAUUAUGAUAUUAUUGUCCUUUAUUAAUGAUGAAUUUGAUGUAAUUAUUUUAUUAUUUUUAUAGAUGAUAGUGAGUUAGAUAUUGA